UCGAGAAUCUUCCGCAAUGGGCGAAAGCCUGACGGAGCGACACCGCGUGCAGGACGAAGGCCCUCGGGUUGUAAACUGCUGUCACGCUCUAGGAAUGCCAUGUCGUUAAUAGCGGCAUGGUUGACCAAGGCGAAAGGAAGUGGCGGCUAACUCUGUGCCAGCAGCCGCGGUAAGACAGAGGCCACGAACGUUGUUCGGAAUCACUGGGCAUAAAGCGCACGUAGGCGGCUAGGUCCGUCCAAUGUGAAAGCCCCCGGCUCAACCGGGGAAUUGCAUCGGAUACAGCCUGGCUUGAGGACGGUUGGGGUGAGUGGAACUCCUGGUGGAGCGGUGAAAUGCGUAGAUAUCGGGAGGAACACCUGUGGCGAAGGCGGCCACCUGGUUGGAUACUGACGCUGAGACGCGAAAGCGUGGGGAGCAAACAGGAUUAGAUACCCGAGUAGUCCCUGAGCGGGCUGGCAAGGCGCAU
rnacentral:rRNA from 1 species